ensembl:lncRNA
GGGGUGGGUUCGGAGGGACCUGAUGCGACUGCGGAGGUGUUCCGUGUCCCCGAGCCGACUACUACCCCGGAGGUGUUCCGUGUCCCUGAGCCGCCGCCGACUGCGGAGGUUUUCCGUGUCCCUGAGCCGCCGCCGACUGCGGAGGUGUUCCGUGUCCCCGAGCCGACUACUACCCCGGAGGUUUUCCGUGUCCCUGAGCCGCCGCCUACUGCGGAGGUGUUCCGUGUCUCCGAGCUGCCGCCGACUACCCCGGAUGUUUCCCGUGUCUCCGAGCUGCCGCCGACUACCCCGGAUGUUUCCCGUGUCUCCGAGCUGCCGCCGCCGACCCCGGAGGUUUCCCGUGUCUCCGAGGCGAUCAUCUAAUAGUUUCCACCUGUGUCCAAUCAUCUGCACCUCCCUUGUGUAUUUAAGCCGUGUGUCUCUUGUGUCACUUGUCGCGUCAUUGUCUUUCGUCGUGGCUGUUCGUGGCUCCUGUCUGCCGUUUUUCCCCUGGUUCCUGUGUGUUUUUGCCCCUUGGCCUUUUGCUUUUGCCUUUUUGACAAUUAAAGUCUUUUGCUUUCCAAGAAGUCUGCGUUUGAGUCCUGCCUCCUCCACGCAUCCCUGACACGUCGUGUUUGGUCUCCUCCGAAACUAAAAACAGUGUAGACUUGGUGAAGGGUCAAAGUGUAUCGCCAAGGAGUCAGUGGAUCAGCAAGGAAAGAUUUAAUUUUGCCAGUGUCAGUUUGUACCACAACUUCAGUAUCAGUGAUUUGCUUGUACAACCCUUCUCAUGUUGUGGUCGGUCCACUUGGAGAAACUUUACUUGCAUGGCAUGAGUUCUAUAUCUAAACAACCUUUUAAUGAAAUAACUAUGUACACAUGUUGAAAUGUGUUUCAAUAACAUGUCUCUCCGGACUGAACUAUUUUUAGCUACAUUGAUCUAAUCAAUAAAAAAAGACUAAUGAAAUGGGUAAAAACUUGCAGAAGUAGUUCAUCUUUCCACUUUAUUGCACUGAAUAUGCGCUUAAAAGCUUUUUUGGUCAUACCGUUUGACAAUAAUAUUGUAUGUCAUCAUGUUGCCUUUGAGGCAUUUCUUUACUUCAUUUUAGAUAAGGUGUUGACAGUAUAUUUUCACAACAAAUCGAUAGUUCAUAUUUUUAUUUUUCUGUGCGCCGCGCAAUCACAUCCAUUAGGAAGCACCUUAGAGGAAAUGGCGUAAGUAAAUUCUUUUCGUUACUGUGUGUGUUGAAGAUUGUCUUUGCAGGGGAUUUCCUGAAACGUAUUCUUGUUAAUUGGGGGAUGUUUGUGUGUGGGCUGCUAGCGGCACUAGUAGUUGGGAUAAAACAGUAAAAGUACUACGACACGUCAUGGUUAUAUCUGAAUGCCAGUCCUGCCUCCUGUCAUGGCCCUGCUGAGACCUACCGCCUCUAAUAUCAUCAUUAGUCCCAUUAGUACUGUUACUGUCAUCAUGAGCCAGCAUUACUGACUUUGCUUCUACCUUGAGGUCUUUGUGGUUUCUGUGGAUGGUGGUUACAUCUGAUGGGGGUUGUCCCUGCAGUGUUCCUACCGUACACCUGGCUUACUACUUUCAAUAUUUGAAUGUCUGUUGAAUUGGACUCGUACAUCUUUUAUGUGGUUCAUACUGUACAGACAUUUAUCGCAAUCUGUGCAACCGGAAGAGGGAUCCUCCUCUGCCGUUCAUUUUUUGCGGAGUUUUUCCUGUUCUGAUGUGUGGGUUUCCAGACAGGGGAUGUCACUUGUGUACAGACUGUAAAGCCCUCUGAAGCAAAUUUGCAAUUUUGGGCUAUUGAAAUGAAUAGAGUUGUACGACUUCAUGCAACCUAAUGCUGGAGGCCUUCACACAUGUGACCGAGACAAGGAUUCCUACUGCCUUAGUUAUUAUAAUUCUAAUUAAUCAGCGCUUCUCUGAAAACAUAAACAAUAGUUAAAUGACUGAACACUACGGUGUCAUAAAAGCCGCAGUAGUAAGUCUCGCAGGUUUUAGGCGCUGGGUGUUGUUGCACUCGCAGCAGCCCAUGUGAUACAGUCUGAGGUUUUCUGCAUUUUAUCGGUGAAAGGUUUGGUCUGCCUGACCAUUAACACAAUAAACCCAGAAAAACAGAUUACACACACAAUUAUGCUGGUAGGCAAAGCCAGCGUGCACUCACAAUUGGGUGAAGUGCAGCAUGGAGGAUGUGGUUUUACUCGUUCUGUCUCGAGGAAAACACCUCCGAUGUUAUUCAUCUCUCUGAGUUUGAAUGAAAACAGCAAUUGGUUUCAGGGCUGUCUGCUUGGUUUGUAUCUGCCGUGAAAGUGAUAAGUGAAUUUCAGAAGAAAAAGGAGACAAUCGAAAGAAAUUAAAAGCACCACGAGUUGUGUUUGCUUUUAAACCUUGUUUAAAAGCAGCAGUGAGAAAUCUGUUUUAUGCAGGCGUCAGCUGAUGCUGUCUAGAUAACUUUUUCGAAUCUAGCGUCCGCGGGUAAGCAAAAUUCUGUUAGGGUGGGCCGACUGCUUGCCUUUACGUGAUUCGUUAAGAUCUGAGAUAAGUCCGAAGUGGUAGUGCCCUCUGGGUACCAAUUUCUCUGAGACUGACGCUUUCUGUCAGUGGUAGGGGGCCGAGAAGUAUGCGAGAAGUAGCGGUACGCAAGAAAAGGUGCCGGUACGCUUAAGAGUAAAAUGUAGAAGUGCCGGUACUGCGUACCGGUGAGUACUGGCGCAUUUCGACCACUGGUCAGAAUAGUUCAGUGAGCAAAAUGUCAGAUAUUAAGCCUGUACCGUCCAUCAGUCCAGACCUCACAAACAACAUAUAAUACAGAGAAAAAAAAACUUUAAUUAAGGAUUACAAAUCUCUGUGAUUAUCCACAUUGUUCUUAGUCAGAAAACAGUUCUGUUAUGAAACAAAUCACAACCAAACCCGAUGGGGAAGUGACACGUUCCUGUUAGAAGGUUUCAUGGUUUGAAUCGAUUGCUGCAUCUAAUCGUCGUUUCACAUGUGGAUGCUGCUUUCACGUCGUCACUGUAGCUUUUUGGGCGGUAUGCUUGAGCAGGGAGGACUGUGUCUAAGCUGACGUGUCUGCAGAGGAAUGCGCAGUGUUUACAUGGCAGCCCGCAGAUCAGAUGAUGAUGAUGAUGAUAGGCAUAAAUGAGUCCAAAUUCAUUAUUAUCUUUCUUUUCCCUUAGCAACUUUGUCUGAUUUCCACAACUAAAUCACCUGUUUGGUUAAAACGACCAUCGACUGCAGCGCUGCACAAAAGUGUUUGCAGAUGGUAAAGAAAGAGCAGUCCGAGCAGGCUGAUGCAACGGAUCGGGUACAUUCUGUUUGUAUUCAGCCACCAUCUGUUUACAAUGUAGCAACUACACACAUACGUAUAUAUGAUCUUCCAUUUACAUACCUCAUUGUGAGAAACCAUACCAAUAAACUUUCCAAUCUAAUGUUAUACUGAGCACUUAACUUUGCACUUGAACCUCUCAGCAGUUUCAGCCGUCAUUUUUAUCAGAAAUAAUUGACUGUAGUCACCAAAUCAACAGCUGAGAUGUUCGGACAUGGUGACACCACUAAGAAUAGGUUAGACAUCACUUAGAAUCACUUAUUUGCAAAAGAGAACAAAGGUGAACAGUAAAUAUUGCUGUCCGUUAUAAACAGUUUACAGACCCACUUCCUGCCACAACCUUGCACUGCAGCACUUAGCGUAUAAAACCACAGUUGUGUGCACACCGCGUUCCUGUGUCAUGACCUACCUUUCACGUGCACUCUCUUUCAGUUCUACAUGAAUAAAUAAAUAAAAAUGGGACCGCACUUUGCUGCAACAUAUCAUGCCAACAUCACAACGUAAAAAGAAAUGAUGCACAUUUGUGUGUGUUAGUUCUUUAUUCCCUGAUUUGAAUUUCUUGCAGGCUCUGUCCUAACAGAUGAGAGGCAACUCCAAAUCUAUUUACUGUUUUUGUCAAAACGGCUUCGAUGAAAAAAUCUAAUAUUUGAUGACUAGAUAAGUUAAUUUCAUGUCUUUUAUGUUCCAUCUUUAAUCCUUAACGUUUCUGUGUACAUUUAAUGAGAGUCCGUACACACAUCACACAUCUGCCAUCCUUUGUUUACCUUUACCGCAUUGCAAUGACUUGUGGGUGAUUGCCUCUAAUGCUCACCUACCAAAAGGGUUCAUAACAAGCCCAAAAUGUCUGCCGAACAUAAAGCUCAAUGAAAAGCACUGAAUACGCCCGAGAUUACAACUUAUUCAGUCUUCAAAAAGCUUCUAAAUCAGUUUCAGCUUCUAAGUAGGUUUGAGGAGAGGAUCAGGUCAACAAGACACUUAAUAAAGAGAAGACAGAGAACAUUUUUACAAAAUAAGGCAAGAAAACCAGUUAUUUAGCUUGAGGACGGUUGACGUCAACUUGACAGAAUAACAACAGUUAUUUUAGAUUUCGACGGGACACCAACAACAGUCUCCAGCACCCAACUAAAGUUUACUACAUUCGUUUGUUACGGUAUGGUUAUAUUUCAAGUAUGUUGGGAGACUAAAGCGUGCAUCCUGGUGUCGGGGGUCACUCCCAUUCAAAUACCUAUUCAGUGACAUCGCAACAACGGGACAAAAAAGAAAUGCUUGUCAUCCUUGCAUCCAGACAGUGAGCUGCUGUUAGGUACAGACAGCAGACAGGGGAAGGAGGGAGCCAAUAAUAACGAUUAUAAUGAUGAUGGUAAUGGUAUAGGCAAAUAAAAGAGUCCCCUGGACAUUGUUUGAUGUUUGUGUGAGCCUUCAAACAGAGCUGGGUGAUGAGUGGGUUAAUAUAAGGCUUUUUUCCCCGUCUGUAGUCCUGUGCCCCCCACCCCACCCCCAUGCAGAGAACAUCACCUAAUUACAAGCCAUAUCAAGAUAGACCAUGUGCCUGUGUGUGUGUGUACCUACAUGAUGGUCUUUAUGUGUGCGAGUAAUUACUCCCCACCAUUUAAAAAAGGUUGUCUACAGGCUCCAUGAAAGGAGAAGGGCAGCUUAAUGAAGCGGUGUGUUAGGAACACCCACCACUUCCAGACUGCUGCUGGUGCCUCCACAUUGUGCAAGGGGGGUUCUCUGUGUAUCAUGAUGCUAGUUUAGGUAGGUUUGUAUCUGAUGAGUUAGUCAGCACAUACAUUCAGCUAAAUCUGGUGCUGACGUGUAGAAAUACCAUUGGCUGCAUCAGCUUGAAAAAAGUAGUAACUCCUUGCCAUUUUAGAAUUGUUAGAACUUCUUCACCGUGUUUGUUCAAAAUCAACAUACUGUACUUGUCAUUUGUGUGCAUGACAUUAAAAUAAUAUUUUAAAACCAUAUAUGCACCUUUCAUAAAUCAUCAUGUUGUAUAUUAUCAACAUAAUGUUUGUAGGUAGGUAGGCUUCAAUGAAAAUGGUCUGUAUUUGCCUUGUUUUUGACUCUGCUUUGUUCUGCUCACAGGAUUACCACUUCAAGUAAAUCGUUUUGGUUCUGAUCUGCUUUUGGGUUCCCUUCAGAACGCUGACAUUAUACAGCUUCACAAAACCAACAAUUCUUGCACACCUCGCACAAUGUUGGGGUGUGAAGGUAAAAAGAAGUUGAACUUCCUUGUUGUAUCUGGGUUGAUUUUACACCCAGUAUGGCGGCAAAUCACUGUCAAAAUUCAAGAGCGCUGAUCGAGUUGAUGGGCGCGAGUAAAUCAAACAUCCGUGAGCAAAUCGCCGUCUCGCGCAAUACAUUUGCUCGCUCGCAGAACGUGAACUUCCUCGCUCGCGAGGCGAAUCUCUCCUCGCGCUCAAAGGUGUUUUCUACGCGUCUUUGGAUUGGCUGGAGUUAUGCAUUCACAGAACUAUAGAAGCCCAUUUCCGCACUAAAGAAAGUCGAAAUUAUGAGAUAAAACGUUAACUGUUAAACGAUAAAACACAAAUGACACCUCUCUGUAACCGUCGCAAAUCUCCGUCUCGCGCGUGCUGGCGAAUGUUUGAUUUACGCGUGCGCAUCAACCUUGAAAUUUGACAGUGAUUUUCCGCCAUAAUCCAGCCUCUGAAUGUUCAUCACCUCCCUGGGAUGUGCCAGCCUGCUUCAAAACCUCCACCAUCAUCCUAUUCCCAAAAAGCUCAGGAUCACAGGACUUAAUGACUGACCUCUGUAGUCAUGAAGUCACCUGAAAACCCUCACUGCCAAUGGUGGUGCACUUCUACACGGCCAUCAUUGAGUCCACCCUCGAAGCGGGCUAAAAAGAUUGUAGCCGGCCCCUCUCACCCCGGACAAAAAUUGUUUGUGUCCCUUCCAUCUGGCAGGAGGCUGAGGUCCAUCAGGACCAAGACCUACUGCCACACAGACAGAUUCUUCCCGUAGGCUGUCGGGCUUAUCAACAGAGCCCGGGUCCCUUCACAUUCCACAUUCACAUACACUUUCACAUACACUCAUAACCAGCAUCGGAAAAACAGAAGGGCAAAAUUUCCCCCAAGAAAUAUAAUUUUGCCCCCAUAUCACUGGGAGAGGGGGGCAAAAUGCCCCUAUCAUUUUCUCAAACAAUAAUUACAAUUUAGUUAACUUAUCAAAAACAUUGUAGUCGUAAUAACCGGGUCCAGUUGCCACAUAAUGUUUGAUUCUCACCUUAACUGAUGUUGCGUGUGCGGGAAGAAUCAAACGAUCAGACCUGUGAGUGCGCGGCGAGCAAAUCCAGCCUCCGUCACCAUCUCUGGUUCAAAGAAAAAAUCCACGCUACGAAGGCUUGCUAGCUGGCUAACGUUAGCCAGGUGCAGUCAGUGAGAGAUGUUUCCUCUCCUCAUAGGUUACUGUCAUCUUUUGGUUAACAGCCAAUCCUCUAUUUGGGUAAAAUGCAAUUAUUUGACCCCUACACCAGAUUCCCCUUACUUGCUACAUUGGGAUUCUUAUCAUACCAUCUUGAGUUCAACAAUGAUAAAUCCCAGAGUAAAAUCACAAAUACACAACUCAGUGUGUACAUACAGAUGGCUCCAUGGCCUCUCCAAAACACAGAGGCACCAUGAACCACAAUAUUUGCUGUUAAACAAACACAGACGUCCAACUACCUCGUGCCACAAUGAUGUGGUUCCUCCAAGAAAAGCAGCACAAAAGCAUUACGACCAUCCGUGCUUUCCUUUUUAGUCCCAACUUAAGACAAUAAAACAGAUCGCAACUGGUAUUUUUCAGCAUCUGGUGACUUCCCAUGCGGUAGUGUCCUGCUACCCACUAUUAUGCCCCUCAACCAGACAAAAUAUUCCACGGUACAAAACCAAAAACAUACAAUUAUGUGUGUGUGUCUUUUAGCCACCCAGCUGCAGUUAGUAGGUCUUUAACCAAUUCUGUCUCCCGUGUUUGGACUGUAGGAGAGAAGACCACCCUGGCAAAGUCCCUAUUUUUCUCUUUCUCUCUCAUUCUCUUUCUCUCGGUCUCUCUUUCUGUCUCUCUCCCCCCUCUCUCUCUGGUGCUCACUUUCUCUCUCUCUCUCUCUCUCUCUCUCUGGUGCUCACUUUCUCUCUCUCUCUCUCUCUCUCUCUCUCUCUCUCUCUCCUAACCACUAUACUAUUGAAGAUUUCCUAACCUGUGCCCUUGAGUUACAGUUCUGAAUCCACCAAACACUCAAUUAUACUUUAAAUAUCUGUUAGAGGUUCUCAGUAUAUUUCAUAGCAUGCUUAGCCACGCUGAGAGUGAAUCAAGCUCAGCUGAACUUGAACUGGCCUUGGUGUGGCUUCCAGCAGAGCAGCCGCCAGAAUGCAUCCUCCACUACAAAACAACAAAGAUUUGCACGGUGACAAUUUAGGACGACAAAUAUCUGGAGGGUUUUAUACUAUUGAUACAACUGUGGUUCUCUUGUUGCACUCUUUUUCCUUUUUCAUCUGUAUACUUUUUUAAUUUUUACCUACUUACUUAUUACCGCUGCUCUUUUAUUGUUGUUGUUUUUUAGCAUGUAUCUUGUGUGCACUGUCCACUUUGCUGCCGCGAUCCUGUGAAUUUCCCCAUUGUGGGACUAAUAAAGGAAUAUCUUAUCUCUCAACUUAUCUUAUGAUCGGCAUGAGGAAAUGCAAAAAAAUCCCUGCUUAUUUCUCCUAAAUGAAUACGGAAGGAGUACGUUUUACAUGUAGCUUUUUUACAAAUAAAUGCUCCACUUAAAAAAUAUUAUUCCUGGUAAAAUAGUUUAUGUUCUCAUACACAACCACCUUCAUUAUAAUUGCUUCUUGUACAUUCUGCUGGUUUUUCAGUUAAUGAAAAAACAGCAAAAAAAAAAGCUCACCCAGAGCAG